rnacentral:rRNA from 1 species
AUUGAACGCUGGCGGCACGCCUUACACAUGCAAGUCGAACGGCAGCACGGGAGCAAUCCUGGUGGCGAGUGGCGAACGGGUGAGUAAAGUAUCGGAACGUGCCCAGUCGUGGGGGAUAACGUAGCGAAAGUUACGCUAAUACCGCAUACGAUCUAUGGAUGAAAGCGGGGGAUUGCAAGACCUCGCGCGAUUGGAGCGGCCGAUAUCAGAUUAGGUAGUUGGUGGGGUAAAGGCUCACCAAGCCGACGAUCUGUAGCUGGUCUGAGAGGACGACCAGCCACACUGGGACUGAGACACGGCCCAGACUCCUACGGGAGGCAGCAGUGGGAAAUUUUGGACAAUGGGCGAAAGCCUGAUCCAGCCAUGCCGCGUGCAGGAUGAAGGCCUUCGGGUUGUAAACUGCUUUUGUACGGAACGAAAAGGUUUGGCCUAAUAAGCUGAGCUCAUGACGGUACCGUAAGAAUAAGCACCGGCUAACUACGUGCCAGCCGCCGCCGUAA